GAAAUAAUGCGAUGUAUUCAAUGAUUUUCCCCCAAGCAUUUAGACAUAAUGUCGCAGGCUCUGUGUGAGGCCUUGGGGACACAUACACUCUGUUCUCAUGGAGCACAGAGACUGGAGGGAAUGUCAGACAUUAAUCACAUAAUCAUGUAAAUGAGUAUGUAAUGACAAAAAUGAGAAACGGGUGUGGGUGCAUAGGGAGGAACAGCUUGUGUGGCUGGGGCUCAGGGAGCCAAGGGGAAGAAGAUGGAGCAAGGUGAGCUGUGGGUGAGAGGAGCGGGGAGGCCAGAUCAGGCAGGCCCAUCACCCCGUGUGGUGCAUUUCCAGAACAGAAAGUCUUGCAGAGAUUAAGCCAGAAGGUGACCUUAACAGGAAAUGAUACCCCAAAAUAUGGCCAUUUGGCACACUGAAUAUCUUAAGCUGAAGGAAUCUGAAGAAACUGGCAGAAGCGGAAGUUCUCUCUGUCCUCCAGUCCUUCAUCCCCGAAGCCGCUCGUGGCCCUCAGGUACUUCCUGUUAUUUGAACAAGGGAAUGCUUCCUAAAGACAAAGCGCUCAAUUGGAUGGAGGAUACACCACUCAAUCAAAAAGGGACCAUGUUCUCAAGGACCUUGAGGUCUACUGGAAAAGAAAACAGAGACAACAUGCUAUUGGUUUUGGAGAAGGAUGAGAUGGCAUCCUGCUGUGGGAAAGCAAAGCUGGUCUUGAGUAGGAGGUUAUAGUUAAGCUAAAAGAUAAAAGAUGGGUAUUUUGGUAUUUUCGCUUUCAUUCAGUGUUCUCUGUCCUACUUCGUCUGGAAAACCUGACA